CUAGCAGCGGUUCAGGAUGUGCGACCAUCAAAUACUUUUAAAGGACAAAUAAUAUUUAUCUACAAUAAAACCAACCUAUAGAUUGUGACAUUUAUAAAUAUUAUUGCAGCAAUUGUACUGUUUUGCAGAGUCAUACAAGCAGUGUGUUAUCGGAAAUGUUUUAAUAAUUUGGAAAAUUGGAUGAUGGUUACUGUGGUAAUCACAAAUUAAUUUCAGCCACUUUGUCCGAAUCAGAUUCCUUUUAAUUCACACACAAAUUCAUCAUUUUUCUUCUUCUUCCACAUGCUAUAAGUGAUUCACAAGGUUUUGGACUGAAA